rnacentral:rRNA from 1 species
GACGAAGGAUGCAAGCGUUAUCCGGAUUCAUUGGGCUUAAAGGGUGCGUAGGCGGAUCUGUAAGUCAGUGGUGAAAUCUCUUUGCUUAACAAAGAAACUGCCAUUGAUACUGCAAGUCUAGAGUAUAGAUGACGUUGGCGGAAUAUGACAUGUAGUGGUGAAAUACUUAGAUAUGUCAUAGAACACCGAUUGCGAAGGCAGCUAACGAAACUAUAACUGACGCUGAGGCACGAAAGUGCGGGGAUCAAACAGG